GACGAACGCUGGCGGCGUGCUUAACACAUGCAAGUUGAACGGAAAGGCCCCUUUGGGGGUACUCGAGUGGCGAACGGGUGAGUAACACGUGAGUAACCUGCCCUUGACUUCGGGAUAACUUCAGGAAACUGGGGCUAAUACCGGAUAGGAAUCCUUGCUGCAUGGUGGGGGUUGGAAAGCUUCGGCGGUUUUGGAUGGACUCGCGGCUUAUCAGCUUGUUGGUGGGGUAGUGGCUUACCAAGGCUUUGACGGGUAGCCGGCCUGAGAGGGCGACCGGCCACAUUGGGACUGAGAUACGGCCCAGACUCCUACGGGAGGCAGCAGUGGGGAAUAUUGCACAAUGGGCGGAAGCCUGAUGCAGCAACGCCGCGUGCGGGAUGACGGCCUUCGGGCUGUAAACCGCUUUCAGCAGGGGCGAAGCUUGUGGUGACGGUACCUGCAGAAGAAGCACCGGCUAACUACGUG
rnacentral:rRNA from 1 species